rnacentral:rRNA from 1 species
GACGAACGCUGGCGGCGUGCUUAACACAUGCAAGUCGUACGGUAAGGCCCUUUCGGGGGUACACGAGUGGCGAACGGGUGAGUAACACGUGAGUAACCUGCCCACAACUUUGGGAUAACGCUAGGAAACUGGUGCUAAUACUGGAUAUGUUCUCCUGCUGCAUGGUGGGGGUUGGAAAGCUCCGGCGGUUGUGGAUGGACUCGCGGCCUAUCAGCUUGUUGGUGGGGUAGUGGCCUACCAAGGCGGCGACGGGUAGCCGGCCGGAGAGGGUGACCGGCCACAGUGGGACUGAGAUACGGCCCAGACUCCUACGGGAGGCAGCAGUGGGGAAUAUUGCACAAUGGGCGCAAGCCUGAUGCAGCAACGCCGCGUGCGGGAGGACGGCCUUCGGGUUGUAAACCGCUUUCAGCAGGGACGAAGCUUUUUGUGACGGUACCUGCAGAAGAAGCACCGGCUAACUACGUG